rnacentral:rRNA from 1 species
UACGAAGGGGGCUAGCGUUGCUCGGAAUCACUGGGCGUAAAGCGCACGUAGGCGGCUUUCUAAGUCAGGGGUGAAAUCCUGGAGCUCAACUCCAGAACUGCCUUUGAUACUGGCGAUCUUGAGUUCGAGAGAGGUGAGUGGAACUGCGAGUGUAGAGGUGAAAUUCGUAGAUAUUCGCAAGAACACCAGUGGCGAAGGCGGCUCACUGGCUCGAUACUGACGCUGAGGUGCGAAAGCGUGGGGAGCAAACAGG